rnacentral:rRNA from 1 species
GACGAACGCUGGCGGCGUGCUUAACACAUGCCAGUCGAACGGAAAGGCCCUGCUUUUGUGGGGUGCUCGAGUGGCGAACGGGUGAGUAACACGUGAGUAACCUGCCCUUGACUUUGGGAUAACUUCAGGAAACUGGGGCUAAUACCGGAUAGGAGCUCCUGCUGCAUGGUGGGGGUUGGAAAGUUUCGGCGGUUGGGGAUGGACUCGCGGCUUAUCAGCUUGUUGGUGGGGUAGUGGCUUACCAAGGCUUUGACGGGUAGCCGGCCUGAGAGGGUGACCGGCCACAUUGGGACUGAGAUACGGACCAGAAUCCUACGGGAGGCAGCAGUGGGGAAUAUUGCACAAUGGGCGGAAGCCUGAUGCAGCAACGCCGCGUGCGGGAUGACGGCCUUCGGGUUGUAAACCGCUUUCGCAUGUGACGAAGCGUGAGUGACGGUAAUGGGUAAAGAAGCAACGGCUAACUACGUG